rnacentral:rRNA from 1 species
AUGGAGACCUCGCCACCGCCGUCGCCUUCGCCGGCUAGCUCGCCGGGACGGCCGGCGAAGCCGCGGCUGUUCAUACAGGAGAUGGUUCUCCGCAACUUCAAGUCCUACGCCGGGGAGCAGCGCAUCGGCCCGUUCCACAAGAGCUUUUCGGCUGUUGUUGGGCCAAAUGGAAGUGGGAAGAGCAACGUCAUUGAUGCAAUGCUCUUCGUGUUUGGAAAGCGUGCAAAGCAGAUGCGCCUUAACAAGGUCUCAGAGCUCAUACACAACUCUUCCAAUCACCAGAACUUAGACAGUGCUGGUGUUUCUGUCCAUUUUCAAGAAAUCAUUGAUCUGGAUGGUGGAAACUACAAGGUUGUUGAGGGCAGUGAAUUUUCCAUAACAAGAGUUGCGUUCCGUGACAACACCUCUAGAUAUUACAUAAAUAACCGUGGAAGCAAUUUUACUGAAGUAACAAAAGUGUUGAAGGGCAAAGGAGUGGACCUUGAUAAUAAUCGCUUUCUGAUCCUUCAGGGUGAGGUUGAGCAGAUCUCCCUGAUGAAACCCAAAGCUCAAAGUCCACAUGACGAGGGUUUUCUAGAAUAUCUAGAAGACAUCAUUGGGACAAACCAAUAUGUUGAGAAAAUCGAAGAAGCUAACAAACAGUUGGAAGUGCUCAAUGAAAAGAGAACCGCGUCAGUGCAGAUGCUGAAAUUGGCUGAGAAGGAAAGGGACAGUUUAGAGAAUGCAAAAAAUGAAGCUGAAGCAUACAUGCUGAAGGAACUUUUGCUUUUGAAAUGGCAAGAAAAGGCAACCACAAUGGCUUCUGAUGAUGCUAUAUCACAUGUUACUCAGCUUGAAGAGAAUGUUACGGACCUAGCGAAGAACCUUGCCUCCGAAAGGGAAAAAAUUAAACAGAACUCUCAGGAGCUGAAGGAAAUGGAGAAAGCUUACAACAAGCGUGUCAAAAGGCAAGAGGAACUUGAGAAUAACAUGAAAGCCUGCAAGGAUCAAUUUAAGGAAUUUGAGAGAAAAGAUGUAAAACACAGGGAAGAUUUAAAACAUCUCAAGCAGAAGAUCAAGAAGCUGGAGGACAAAGCUGAAAAGGAUACCUCAAAAAUUGAAGGAUCAGCAAAAGAGAUUGAAGAAUCAUCCAAUCUCAUUCCACAGCUUGAAGAAGAGAUACCAAAAUUGCAAGAACGAUUAAAUCAAGAAGAGAAAGUACUGGAGCGAAUUAAAGAAAGCUCUCNAGAGGAAACUGAAAAGCUACGUGCUGAACUUGCCCAAGUAAGGACUGAGCUUGAACCAUGGGAAAAUCAAAUUAUUGAGCAUAAAGGGAGGCUAGAUGUUGCAUCUGGGGAGAAAAAAUUAAUGAAACAGAAGCAUGAUGGAGCUCGAGCAGAAUUAACUGAUGCCCAAAACCAGAUGGAAAUCAUCAAGGAAAAAAUAAAAACAAAGGACACAUUUAUUACGGAGCUCGAAGGAAAAAUAGAGAAACAUCAGAGUGAAGCAUCUGAAGCUCGUGAAGUUGAACAGGAAUGCCUAAAACAAGAGGAGUCCCUAAUUCCUCUUGAACAAGUAGCUAGGCAGAAAGUUGUGGAGAUUAAAUCGACGAGGGAUUCUGAGAAGAAUCAUGGCACUGUUUUGAAAGCAAUUCUACAAGCUAAAGAAUCAAAGGAAAUAGAAGGCAUUUAUGGAAGGCUAGGUGAUCUUGGUGCAAUUGAUGCAAAAUAUGAUGUUGCCAUAUCGACAGCGUGCCAUGGACUUGAUUAUAUUGUUGUUGAAACAACAAAUUCGGCCCAAGCUUGUGUUGAACUAUUACGCAGAAGAAAUCUUGGGAUUGCUACUUUUAUGAUACUGGAAAAGCAAGCACACCAUCUUCGUAAGCUACAAGAAAAAGUAAAAACCCCUGAAGGAGUUCCACGCCUCUUUGAUCUGGUAAAGGUUAAAGAUGAGAAGCUGAAGUUAGCUUUCUUUGCAACCUUGGGCAAUACUGUUGUUGCAAAGGAUCUUGAUCAGGCCACUCGAAUUGCAUAUACUGCUGAUAAUGAGUUUCGCCGGGUAGUUACCCUCGACGGUGCACUUUUUGAGAAGUCUGGGACCAUGAGCGGUGGUGGCGGCAAACCACGAGGUGGCAAGAUGGGCACAUCCAUCCGAGAAAGUGUUUCAGAAGAGGCUGUUAUGAAUGCUGAAAAUGAUCUCAACAAACUUGUUGACCAACUCAGCAGGCUGCGUGAAAAUAUUAAUGAUGCUAAAAAACGCUACCGGUCCCUGGAAGAUGCUAAAUCUCGACUUGAGAUGGAACUGGCAAAAGCGAAAAAGGAGGUUGAGAGUAUGAAUGCCCAAUACACUUACAAUGAGAAGCGACUAGAUUCACUGGAGGCCGCAGCAAAUCCCAAAGAUGAUGAGAUCAGCAGAAUGAAAGAGCUGGAUGACCUUAUUUCUAAUGAACAAGUUGCACUAAAGAAGCUUGAGAAGAGUUCUAGCAAGCUCAAAGAUCAGGCUUCAGAACUUCAGCAGAAAAUUGAAAAUGCAGGGGGGCAGGUGCUCAAGGAUCAGAAGGCAAAAGUAGAAAAAAUCCAAUCUGAACUUGACAAAACUAGCUCAGACAUCAAUCGCCACAAAGUUAAAAUAACUACAUGUGAAAAGUUGAUGAAAAAGUUAGCCAAGGGUGUUGAGGAGGCCAAAAAAGAAAUGGAAAAUCUGCUUGCUCAAAAGGAGAAGUUAAUGUCCGUUUUCAAAGAGAUUGAGAAGAAGGCUUUUCUGGUUCAAGAAGAUUAUAAGAAGACCCAGGAGAUGAUGGACACCCAUAAAGAGGAGCUUGACAAGACAAAGGAAGACUACAAUAAAACAAAGAAAGUGGUGGAUGAACUAAGAGCCACUGAGGUUGAUGCAGAGUACAAACUGCAAGAUACAAAAAAGCUUGCCAAGGAGUGGGAAAUGAAGGUGAAGGCAUAUAAGAAAAGGCUAGCUGACAUUCAGACAAAUCUUGCCAAACACAUGGAUCAACUCCAGAAGGAUGCGAUUGAUCCUGAGAAACUUAAAGAAACACUUAGCGAUGAGCAUCUCAAUGAAAUGUGUGACCUGAAAAAAGCCAUGGAGAUGGUGGCAUUGCUGGAAGCGCAGAUUAAAGACUCGAGUCCAAAUCUGGAUUCAAUAGCAGAGUAUCGCACGAAGGCUCGUUUAUAUGGCGAACGUGUUGAUGAACUAAAUGCUACCACUCAGGAGCGUGAUGAUCUUAAGAAGCUAUAUGAUGGACUGAGGAAGAGAAGGUUAGAUGAGUUCAUGGCAGGGUUCAACUUGAUCUCUCUGAAACUGAAAGAGAUGUACCAGAUGAUUACACUUGGAGGAGAUGCGGAGCUGGAACUUGUUGAUUCGUUGGAUCCAUUUUCAGAAGGUGUUGUUUUCAGCGUAAGGCCUCCCAAGAAAAGCUGGAAGAACAUUGCCAACCUAUCUGGUGGCGAGAAGACGCUUAGCUCCCUGGCUCUAGUGUUUGCUCUUCACCAUUAUAAACCAACUCCAUUGUAUGUUAUGGACGAGAUAGAUGCAGCAUUGGAUUUUAAGAAUGUAUCCAUUGUCGGACAUUAUGUGAAAGAUCGUACCAAGGAUGCCCAGUUCAUUAUUAUUAGUCUCAGAAACAACAUGUUUGAACUAGCUGAUAGGCUGGUUGGCAUCUACAAGACUGAUAAUUGCACCAAGAGUAUAACUAUCAACCCUGGAAGCUUUGCCGAGGGCACGAAACCAACAACCCUCGAAGCUUCGCCGAGAGCAUGA